CCUGGGAGCACUGUCAUUCCGAAGUUUUGAAGGCUGGACUCGCCGCCCCGGACGAAAAACCGAGCCGGGCGGGGCGGGUGGUGCUGCGGGAGGGAGUCACUGACGACAAUUCCAGGCGGAGGUGAUGCUGGAGGGCGGGGGAGGAGAGCUGCUUGCUAGCCGCGCGGGCCGGCGCCGGGAAGGGCCCGGCGCGACCAACGGUGAAGCCCGGACGCGGGCGCCGCGGGGAGGUCACACUCCCCACCCCCCGCGGGCCUCAACCCCGUGGCCCCAAGGCCUGGGACCUCUCCGGACCGGUAACCUCCCCACCGCGCGGACAGGCAGCUUCCCGCGGUGGAAACUCUCGUGGGAGAGUGGCUCCACAGCCUGGCUCCCGCUGUCGGGCGCCUUAUUCCAUCGAUACGAAUUGAGUUACCUCCUCUGCGUACAUUCUUCCCCGGACUUGCCGUGGUGCCUCCAACCUUGGCCUGUAUCCCCUUGUUCACUCAGCUUCAGUGGCGCAAACGUUACCUUUCCUCCAAAAGCCAUAUGGCCCUGAUUGCAGUAUCACUGAGAAGAUAAAAAACUCAGCUCCAGCAUCCUCUGCCACUCUUCUCAAAGUAUUUCUGUCUGCACCAUCAAUUUUGUGAACUGUUGUCAAGUACCUGGAGGAACAGGAGCCUCUUUUCCCUUCUAAGUUGCCAACCCUUGGCCUGCUGGCUUCAUCUCACCUCCGUCCAGAUCUUCUUCCCCUGCUUUGCACUAGCCAAAAUGCCCAGACAAAUCCUUCACACUUGUUCCUCCCUUUUCUCCAAGGAUCUCCUUGGUAAGCUCAGUCACCUUUUUCACAGUGUUUUUUUUUUUUUUUUUCCCUUGACCUCACUGCAAUGCAAGAAAAUUAUGACUCACUUCCACUUGUAAAAUUCUCCCUUGACAUUGCCCUAGUAUGGUUCAGUCACCCUUUCUUCCUUGCUGGCUCUUCUUUCUCAUUUAGCGCUCUGGGUGGGUGGGCAUUUGCCCCAGGUUCUAUUCUCAACCUUCUUGUUUCUCUUUACCGGCUGUCCUGGGACAACAUAUUACAAUUGCCCAUCUCCAUCCUUGAUCUGCUUCAUAAAGUCUAACUUCACAUUCCCUCCAACCAGCAAGACAUCAUCGUCCAGAGGACUCAUUACCUCUAGUCAGCAUGUCAAAAAACAUUGAUACUUCCCUGCAAAAUCAACUUGUCUCCCUUUUACUCAGUUUUUGUCCGCAUUACCUUGCCUCCCAGGUACGACUGCCACUUUUCCAUCCUCAUCUUUAAUUCACCUAUAGGACUCUCAAAAAUCUUUUCUUUAUCAGAUUCCUCAACUCCACUAGUGUGUUUCCAUUGCCACCUAUCUUGCCAAGAUCGCUUUGCUAAGUCAACUGCCUUCAUUCACCCCAGAAUCCUUGGUGUUCCCCAGGAUUUUGUCCUCAUCAGUAUCUCUAGGGAUACAGAUUGUCUCCUCCCUUUUUCAAUUCACCCUCUACAUGUAGUCAGAUGUCACGUUCUAUUGAAUCUAACUUCCUAAUGUCCUAAUGAGGCUUUUUAACUUCCACAUUCUCAUCAUCAGUACCUCAGAGAUAUUUCCAAGAUUAUAAUUGCUUCUUUUACCCCUACGGUGACAUCAAAUAAAUCUUCAUUCCCCUAAAAAGGUUGUUAUAAUAAUUAAGUGAGAUAUAAUCCAUCUAUCACACUCAACAUAAUGCUGACCCACAGUAAGAGCUAUUAUUAUAUACUGAUCAGAUAUAAUCAUACAAAUACCAAAUCAUGUUGUACACCUGAAACUAAUAUAAUGUUACAUAUCAAUUAUACGUCAAUUUAAAAAGAAAUAACCAAUUGCUCCCCAUUUCCUGCAGCUCCAAGUCCUAACUCUAAGCUGCAUCUACACUGGUCUGCCCGGUGUCGUAACCCAUCACAAUCCCCCCAUCCAAACACUGGACGUUUUCACAUUUUCAAUGUGAAGUAAGCACAGUUCAUGUUUUUUUCUUCUCCCGGAAUGCCUUUCUUUGUCCUCAGCCAUUCAAAUCUUCCCCCUUUCUUCAAGUAACAAGACAAGUCCUCCUUUAUUGGUACCUUCUAAAUCUUGGCUUGCACUCUUCAAUAUGCAGGCUUCAAUACCAGCACCUCUCCGUGAAGAAAACUGUGUGUUGUGAUCAAAAUCAGAUUUUCGCCUCUCCUGGAACCAACCACUGGUGAGCCCUGUCAGUCCAGAUGCCUACACAGCUCCUCAGGUCAGAUCUUUUGAUUCCAAAUAUGAAGACUAAGCACUAAAUGUUAUCUUGGUCUUAACUUGUUUGGACUGCUCUUUUUGCAGCAGAAAAGAAAAAAAAAAGUUGUCAGUAUUCACUAUUUUUACAAAUCUUAACAAAUGUUAUGAUAAGACAUCUAAUGGUAAAAUCUGCUGACUCAUUGACCUCGAUACAAAAGCAAUAUUUGUUCAACUUAUUGCACAAAACUUCUUUGACAUA